rnacentral:rRNA from 1 species
AGUGAACGCUGGCGGUAGGCCUACACAUGCAAGUCGAACGGCAGCACCGUAAGAGCUUGCUCUUACGGGUGGCGAGUGGCGGACGGGUGAGGAAUACAUCGGAAUCUACUUUUUCGUGGGGGAUAACGUAGGGAAACUUACGCUAAUACCGCAUACGACCUACGGGUGAAAGCAGGGGAUCUUCGGACCUUGCGCGAUUGAAUGAGCCGAUGUCGGAUUAGCUAGUUGGCGGGGUAAAGGCCCACCAAGGCGACGAUCCGUAGCUGGUCUGAGAGGAUGAUCAGCCACACUGGAACUGAGACACGGUCCAGACUCCUACGGGAGGCAGCAGUGGGGAAUAUUGGACAAUGGGCGCAAGCCUGAUCCAGCCAUACCGCGUGGGUGAAGAAGGCCUUCGGGUUGUAAAGCCCUUUUGUUGGGAAAGAAAAGCAGCAGGUUAAUACCCCGCUGUUCUGACGGUACCCAAAGAAUAAGCACCGGCUAACUUCGUG